UACGGGGGGGGCAAGCGUUGUUCGGAAUUACUGGGCGUAAAGGGCUCGUAGGCGGCCAACUAAGUCGGAUGUGAAAUCCCCAGGCUCAACCUGGGAACUGCAUCCGAUACUGGAUGGCUUGAAUUCGGGAGAGGGAAGCGGAAUUCCCGGUGUAGUGGUGAAAUGCGUAGAUAUCGGGAGGAACACCAGUGGCGAAGGCGGCUUCCUGGCCUGUUCUUGACGCUGAGGCGCGAAAGCUAGGGGAGCAAACGGG
rnacentral:rRNA from 1 species